CACAAAAAAAAAUCUCCGGUCCCCCUCUCUCUCUCUCUGACACAAAAAAAAUAAAAAAUUGCAAAGCCCUCGGGCCACAGGCCCGUCGACUCCCCACCCCUCCUUCGCUCGGGCUCCCACCGUCGCUUGGGCUCCACACGGCUGGAGCUCAGUUCACAGCGCCUCGGGCCCUUUCCUCUUCACUGUCCCCCGAGCAACCAGCAAGGCUGGAGUUGCUCUGAGUGAGAUGAUUUUGGCACUGAGCAUCUAGAGAAACGUGCAUAGUAUCUGUUUGGAUAUCCCUGUUGCUGGAUAGCUUCUGCUAGCUGAUUGUCAUUUCUGUUUUGGCAUUGAUCAGACUUGAUUGCUUUCGGGUUUUCACUACUUUUUAGAAAACGGGCGCCGAUCUCAAGCAACCCCCCCCCCCAAACGUCGGUGGGUAGUUAUGCAUUUUUAUCUUGCAGAAAAGAUUGCAUAUUUGAUCUGAAGUGCACGUUCAUCAUUUGCUCGACGUUUAUGGGUUUUACGCUGUCAAAAUCACAAUGCGAUUUCACAAGGUAUUAAUAAGGCUUAUUUGUUUUGAUUCAAAAUUGACUGAAUCAGUCCUUAAUAGUUUGUAAACUUUUUUCAAUCUCUCUUAAGCUAGACGCCAUGAGAAGAAAAUUAAGCAUAAAGGUUUUCCCUUUUCCCUUCUCUUUUGAUUUCCCAGCAUGAAUGUUUUUCUCUGUUUUUACUGUUUUUAGCUCUGUUUAUUGCUUUUGAUUUUAGAUUUGUGGAUUGUUUCGAAACUGAGUUCCUAUUAUUUGCAAUUUCGUUACAUUCAAUGUGCAGAUAUUCUUAAUUCCACCAAUUGAUUUCAUGUAAUUGAAAUUUUGUUACAUUGAAUGUACAGAUAUUCUCAUUUGCUAAUUUACUUAUCAAUCACCAUUUUCCAUUGAUUAA